rnacentral:rRNA from 1 species
GGUGAACGCUGGCGGCGUGCUUAAGACAUGCAAGUCGAACGGCAGUCUUCGGACUGUAGUGGCGCACGGGUGAGUAACGCGUAACUGACCUACCCCAAAGUCGCGGAUAACGAUUCGAAAGGAUCGCUAAUACGUGAUGUGCUGUCAGAUUGUGUUCUGCCAGCAAAGAUUGAUUGCUUUGGGAUGGGGUUGCGUUCCAUCAGCUAGUUGGUGGGGUAAAGGCCCACCAAGGCGACGACGGAUAGCCGGCCUGAGAGGGUGGCCGGCCACAGGGGCACUGAGACACGGGUCCCACUCCUACGGGAGGCAGCAGUUAGGAAUCUUCCACAAUGGGCGAAAGCCUGAUGGAGCGACGCCGCGUGAGGGAUGAAGGUCUUCGGAUCGUAAACCUCUGAAUCAGGGACGAAAGACACUUCGGUGGGAUGACGGUACCUGAGUAAUAGCACCGGCUAACUCCGUGCCAGCCGCCGCCGUAACAC